AUUAACAUGGUCUUUCACUUAAUUUUAUUUAAAUGUCCUCUUUGUUUAUAGGUUAAGGCUUAACAAGGUUGUUGAGUGCCAUCUUUUAAAGGAUUCUGUGGCAUGUUCUAAGUCUCUGUCUCUAAGAUGAUCGGAGAAGCCAUCAUAAAAGCUCUUUGUCCGCACCUGAAUGAUGAUGAUGGAUUUCUCAUCAAGGAGUACAUGGACAUUCAUGGUGAAGACAUAUUGAGAGACCAGCACAGCACUGAAAUGGACAUUUAUGUCAUCAGAAGAGGGUGGAGCUCUUGGAGCAUAUGAAGACAGUGACACUGAUGGAAACAUUAUUGUAGGAAACAUCAAAUCAGUUGCACCAGACUGCAGUAAUGCUUGGAGUAAUCUGUACUGAAUAUGGCUCACCACAAUGGGCAGAAAUGCUGCUAUGAAUUUGUACAUUCCUCAUGCCAAAGGAUGGUACAAAGUUCUCCCCUAAUAUUCUUGGUUUGGAGAACAAAAUCUUGGGAUAGUCAAAGUAGGCUGUCCUUUCUGGAAAUAUAUGGAACUUUUCACACUAGCUUGUCCUUUGCUUGAAAAGCAAUGGACUUUUGAACAACGCUUAAGUCACAUUCUAUACAACAUGUCAAGAUCCUGGUCAUGUUUAAGAACAAUUUGUCUUAAAACAGCAUGCAGUUAAAUUUUAGUCUUUUUUGCUAACAGUGUACAAAGUAGCCUUUUGAACAAUUUGAGCUCUAUAAAUUUUCACCCUAAAUUUGCAAAGUCUAACAAGCAAAAUAAGGUUGUGCUAACAAGAGGCAGUGCUUUGACAAGAAGGUUGUACUCUGUAGGCACUAUUUUUUGGGCAUUAUUUUGAUCAUUGAUGAGAACUGGAUAUUGUAUAAAGUCGUAUAACAUUAAUACUGUUAUUGUGCUGUUCUGUUUUAAAUAUCUGCUGUUGUAAAGUUGCACUGAAGGUUGGUGUAAUUACUGAAUGUUACUUCAUUGUUUCACAAAUUCUGGGCCAUUACUUAAUUAAUUGUGAUUAAAGGCACACACAUUUAGGUGAAUGUGUUUAUAAUUGCAGUGUUCUGUUUGAAGCUUAUUGUUGUAUGUAAACUUGCAUUUUAGCUUGUGUUGCCUGCAAGUCAAGCAAUAAUGUAUUGAUAGCUGUGUACUUAUAGAGAAGUAUUUAGUCUAUUUUUUUACUACUCUGCUUUAUUUUGUCUACAGUCUUGUUUUAUUACUUAAUAUUCAGUGUUGUUUUCUAUAGUGGUAAAGCAAAUGUGUAUUUUAAUUAAUCCUAAUAUGCAUGUGCAUUUGAUGUACCUAAAUAAAGUCACUGUAAUUUUUUUUUUUAUUGUCAUGAUAGUCAUUCAUGUCUUGACCAGGUGUUUAAAUAGAUGGAACAUUAAUUAAGUGUAGUUGAAGUUUAAUUUGUGAAAAUUAACUUUUAAAAUUGUACAUUAAUAAAUGGUCUGUGAUAUAAUUAAGCUGUUGUACAUAAUAAACAAUGAGUAACUGUU